CUCAUUUUUCUACUGCUCGUGGAUUUACGCGCACGUUGGAACCGAAGAGAGCUCUGUUGUUGCAAUGUUCAGCCCACAAGAGCUUACUGGUGAAGGAAUGGGACAAGACCCAUCUUUAUGCAAAGCCAGCGUUACAGUAAUGUUCCAGGUAUUCCUGAUGACAGUCUGCCUCUAUCUUACAGAGCAGCUUGUUGCUAUAUACCAUUGAAAAGCCUUCAGAGCUGAGAGGUACUACUAACCAAUAACCUGCUUGGCUCAAAGGGCCAGCACCUUCUCUCUAAAGCCCAAGAGGAGUUUGAGGAAAACUAGGUGUCUGUGUUCACUCCAGGCUGAAGUUACAGGUCUGAGCAAAUAAGGUGUAUAAAAAAUGGAAUCUGUCUUGGAGGACAUCAGAAGAUACAAGGGCUUGGUUUUGUUACCCAGGCUGGUUUCAAGGCCAUAGCUUUAAGAGAUCCUCUCACCACAGAUUUCCAAAGUGCUGGGAUUGCAGGUGUGAUUCAUGGCACCCAGACUUUGCUGCCUUUCUUACAUGAUCCAGGCCCAGAACCCAAACUCAGGCACUGUAUAGAUGACCACUUUCGUAAACUACUGACCUAGCUUGUUGCCAAUUGUUGAUUGAACUUCCCAUAACUCCACUUCGUGUCUGUUCCUCUGUAUACAGCCACCUUCUGUUCCCGUCAUGAGCCUUUAGGUCUCCAUUUGCAUAUUGCAAAUACUAUGUUCCAUGUAGGUAGCUCAUUCAGGGCCUUGCUCUUCACUUCAAAAAAGGUUCCCUUGAGGACUGGCUGUCAAUUUGUGUUGCUGUGUUGGUUGUUGAUGAAAAUAAUAAAAUGAUUGAUUACAUAGUCCUGUUUAAAAAAAAAAAAA
rnacentral:lncRNA from 1 species